AACAACAUGCAGGGCUGAGUAAAAAUACUCAGUGAACAUAUGCCGGAAAUAUAACAUUUUAUAUCAUUUAUUGUACUGCCAACAGUAACACACAGGGUUUUACUUGAAGGACCUGUGCUUACUAAACAUUUUCUUUCAUUUCAUAAAGUUGGAUGCGCAUCCCAUUUUCGGUCUAUAUGAUCCAUAUCUGUUCCUUUUACGCGCCGGGAAGGAGGCCUCCUUCCACGGACGCUAAGACCGGUCGCAAGCGACACACAGUCUCCAUGAGUGUACACGUUAACCCUUACUAGCAAACCUUCGUCUAGCGUAGGGUCCGAAUUCGAUUUCCUUUAUAGUUGGCGAACCAACACAGAUAGGAUACAUACAUAAAACAUAAACAUUUUUGG
rnacentral:lncRNA from 1 species